rnacentral:tRNA from 1 species
UUGCUUUGGCAGACUAGUGCUUUAAAUUUAGAAUUUAAAUAUGUGUAUUUAUACACAAGUAAUACAUU